rnacentral:lncRNA from 1 species
GGGUAAGGAGGAUGCCAAGGUAUGAUCCCAAUGCUAAUGCAUAUGAUGAAAUUGCAUGAGGGAUCUUAGGGUCAAAAUUGGGGUCUUACAAUGGCCUAAAAAUGAUCACUAGGUUAACUCACUAGAUUCAACAUGCAAUUCUCACAUUUAACAUUGAUCAAAUACAAGUAUAACAUAAUAAGUGAUUUAUAAUUGAUGAAAUGCAUUUAGAAACAUUAAAGAAAUG